UACGGAGGGUGCAAGCGUUAUCCGGAUUCACUGGGUUUAAAGGGUGCGUAGGUGGGCAGGUAAGUCAGUGGUGAAAUCUCCGAGCUUAACUCGGAAACUGCCAUUGAUACUAUCUGUCUUGAAUAUCCUGGAGGUAAGCGGAAUAUGUCAUGUAGCGGUGAAAUGCUUAGAUAUGACAUAGAACACCAAUUGCGAAGGCAGCUUACUACGGGAUUAUUGACACUGAGGCACGAAAGCGUGGGGAUCAAACAGG
rnacentral:rRNA from 1 species